UUUCGUUUCCAAAAAACCGACACUAGAACAAAGUCAAAACUGAAAAUAGUCAUUCUGGGGAAUUCACAUGAACUAUACCUUUGUAGAAUUCUCAGGUCUUGCUAUUCAGGAAGGACAUGUACUUUGGAGCCAGUAUUGUCAGCCGUGACGUCAUGCAUCCAAGAGACUCUUAAUUCCUGUAAGUAUGGUUUCAGUUUUCUGACUUAGGUUUCAUUUCUGGGACUAUCUACUGAGUUAUCAGUCAAAGCAAGUUUUUUUUUUUUCGAUAUAAACUGCUACACAGUUUCAAAACCCCUAUCAACAGAUGUAAAGUCAGGUCAAGAUGUUCUAAGACACAUUUAAAAUAUGAGGAAUUAAUGGAAAAUCUUUACAUUUUUUUCAUUAAGAAUACACAUUUCUGCAAAGGGUGUUGUCUUUUGCACUAUGUCAAUCGCAAUGGGGCCAAAAUAGAAGUUCUUAUGUUCAGUUUUAUUUAUUUAUUUAUUUUUUUCUGGAGGGGGAGAGUGGAAGCUCGAUCAAAGAUAAAAAGCUUCACAUCUUGUUCAAAAUAUUUGGUUUUGCUUUGUUUUCAAAUGUGUUCAUUUAAUGAUAAAACAUAUUGUCAUAGCUGUGCCAGACACCUGUAUGAGCCAAGGGCCACUGCUGUCAGUAUAAUUUAUCUAAAUCACAAAUCACAAUUAUGUCACCAUGGUUGGUUAUUGAUACAUAGAAACCACUAGCUGUUGUUUAAAUAAAGAUUCCUCAAAGUUCAUAAAAGUUCAUAAACUUUAUGUGAUAAGAGUCUGUGGUAAUAAGCGCCAUUUGUGAUAAGCCUAACAAUUAAGACAGAUUAAAAACCAAAUAAUAGUAGGGAACUCCCUACUAAAGGGCAAGGAGGAAUAAAGUUAAGUAGGAAAAAAAGUUUGGCUUGAACUUAUAAACAUUUAAUACAAUAUUAAAAUAUACUUCAUUGCACAGUCAAUCACAAGUUUAAUACAAAUUUUAACCAGUAUUGUUAAAUGAUAUUGGCUAUAUUAUUACAAAAAUACAAAACAGCAUAAAUAGUGGCAAAUGUGUAUAAUUGUGUGUGAUUUUGUCUCACAUAUCAGAGUGAAAAAAUUCCAGAUUUUAGUCUUCUUUUUUUGGUGUCAACCUUCAUACACAGUAAGCUUUAAAUGCUGGCUGUUGGAUGCAGAGAUGUUGUUUAGCUUGAUAAAGUUCUGGCUGAUUUCCAUAAAUGUUUUGUUUUUGGUUUCUGGAAGGAUCAUGAAAAGGUAGAUUGAUCCUAAAACGCAGAUCACCAGAAAAAACAGGAAGGCAUUGGACUGCAAGCCCUCCUACAAAGAGAAGAACAAUGGCAGGAUUGUAAAUAAAAUGGGAUGCUUUUUUUUUUCUAAAUGAAACAACCUGACGUUAACCUGAUUACACCUCAUCACAGGUCUGUUUUCUGUCUGCAGAGUUGUUAAAAAUGGUAUCCCAGUUGAUUUGCAUCUUCGUCUGUAGAUUUGUAUAAAAUAACAAAACACUGCCCAGUACCAUUGCCAUGUAUAAAACAGUGUUCCAAACCAAUAUGUAAGGCUGUUGUGACUGUCAAUAGAAGUCAGUAGGGUGCCCAAUAAAUAGAUCAGGAUCUACCAGUAGAUUAACCAAUGUAGUGUCUUCUGUACUUAUGUGGCUCAUUUAACCUUUAGUCCUGUCUACAUACAGUAUUAAUAAUUACAUUAUGUGUUUAUAAUUUUACUUUUUAUAUUUUACUCUUAUAUUUGUGUGUUAAUGCAAUACAAUCGUUCCUAAUCAUACAAAGGCUCUCAGGCCAAAAUAGUGUAUGUGUAUUAAUAUAUGUGCAGGUACAGCAUGUUGAUCACGUAUUAACUCACUUGAAUGAAUGGAAACAGGAGCCCCAGAGCAAAGUUGGACAGCCAGUUCACGGUGCCGGCGAUCAUAAAGGCUGGUCGACGGUAAGACUGUUCAAACAGCUCGCUGGUCAGGAUGAAGGGUAUGCCCCCUGGUGGAGAAAAACACAGAGUAAAUAAUAAAACCUUUCUUUGAAUUUGAAACAGAUCCAUAAUUAUAACUAUUAUAAAUGUUGACCAUUUUAAGUGGUUAAAGAUCAGUGGUAACAUCUGGGACGAUAUAAAUAUAAAGCAUGGAUUUCUGUAUUACAUAACCUGUGGUUAUGUAAUACAGUGGUGCAAUUUGCUGAAAACAAACAAACAUGCAAUCUUUGUGCCUUGGCAAUGUUCAAAUACGUUGCUUGAAGGUUUACUACAUUUGGACGUCAGCCUGUAAUCAUAGUGUUAUAUGGGUUUUCUUUUAUUGCCUUUAAUUGGACCGGCUCAAGAUCUGUAGCUCUUAAUGCUUAUAGAAUUUCCAUUCACACCCACAACUACUGCCUCAGGCAAUUACACACACAAAUAAAGAUUACUUGGUGUUGUCGUGGAAAUUUUAUAUGCACUACAACAAGUAAUACUACAUGUAUUACUAUCACUAUUCACUAUCACUAUCACAACACUAUCAUGUUGUGAUAGUGAUUAUCUGAAAGUGUCUCUGCCGUAAUGAUUGACAUUGUCCUGAUCCUGACCUCUUCACUAGGGGUGUGAACAUUUACUACCCUCCUGCCAGGCGUCCUGCCUGAUUAAAUCCACAUCUUAAUAACAUUAUGGCCACAGAAACCACCAAUAAUAAGGCAGAAUUCUUUGGUCAUGGCAACACAAGGCUUAUAUUUGAUUGGUGAAAACAUAAGAAUGGACCGUGUAUUUUAUAUUAUUCAAUAAAUAUUCACUUUAUAUUGCAACAUAAGUCACUGAUUCUAAUACUGUUUAGGCCAGCAGAGAAGGCCUUGCUGGCCUUGACAGUUCACCACUGUACUGUACUCUACUCAGGUAGAAAGAAAGUGUAGGACUUUGGUUUCACCUGGACCAGAACAAAAGGAUGCGAUCACUGCCAAGAUACAGACGUAACUGAGGUAAACUGAGGGAGAGGCUGACCUGGAAGUUGAGGAACACUGUGAGGAGACCAAAGAACACAGCCAUGGAAGAGAAUCCAAAUAUGAGGAGAAUCUUUCUGCCUGUUCGUUCUAUCACAAUACCCUAUAGAAAAGACA